UGGGGAAUAUUGGGCAAUGGACGCAAGUCUGACCCAGCAACGCCGCGUGAAGGAAGAAGGCUUUCGGGUUGUAAACUUCUUUUGUCAGGGAAGAGAAGAAGACGGUACCUGGCGAAUAAGCCACGGCUAACUACGUGCCAGCAGCCGCGGUAAUACGUAGGUGGCAAGCGUUGUCCGGAUUUACUGGGUGUAAAGGGCGUGCAGCCGGGCGCUUAAGUCAGAUGUGAAAUCCGCGGGCUUAACCCGCGAACUGCAUUUGAAACUGAGCGUCUUGAGUAUCGGAGAGGUCAUCGGAAUUCCUUGUGUAGCGGUGAAAUGCGUAGAUAUAAGGAAGAACACCAGUGGCGAAGGCGGAUGACUGGACGACAACUGACGGUGAGGCGCGAAAGCGUGGGGAGCAAACAGGAUUAGAUACCC
rnacentral:rRNA from 1 species